rnacentral:rRNA from 1 species
AUUGAACGCUGGCGGCAGGCCUAACACAUGCAAGUCGAACGAGUGGCGGACGGGUGAGUAAUGCCUGGGAAACCGCCUGAUGGAGGGGGAUAACUACUGGAAACGGGAGCUAAUACCGAAUAUAAUAGGAUGAGCCCAGAUGGGAUUAGCUAGUAGGUGGGGGAAAGGCGCACCUGGGCGACGAUCCCUAGCUGGUCUGAGAGGAUGACCAGCAACACUGGAACGGAGACACGGUCCAGACUCCUACGGGAGGCAGCAGUGGGUAAUAUUGCCCAAUGUGCGCAAGCCUGAUGCGGCCAUGCCGCGUGUAUGAAGAAGGCCUUCGGGUUGUAAAGUACUUUCAGCGGGGAGGCGGUACCCGCAGAAGAAGCACCGGCUAACUCCGUGCCAGCAGCCGCGGUAAUUC